CCAAAUUGUUAAAGAACCACCACAUAAUGCUGAGGGGCAGCAAUCUCCACAAACUGAAGGCAAUUUUGAAACUGUAAAUCCCAACCUCUCUAAAGAGGCUGACAUAGCAUCCGGAGACCAUGUGGGAGAUGUUAAUGUUACUGAUGAUGAGCAGCAGCGUUCGCCACCACCAGGUGCUAACACGUCUCCGGGAGGAAAUGAUUCCUCGCCUCAUGUCAUCCCCAAUCUACAUGCAUCUACAUCUCCACCACAUGAGUCUGGUCGAUCGGAAGCUAAUGUCAAUGAGGAUACUUUUGACCCUAAUGGCGCCUUCAGUUUUCUUAAUGAUCCAACCCCUCCCCAGAUAGAAUCAACUUCCGACCGUACGGUUGGCCUUUCAAUUGUUCUGAACCAGGAAGUACUUGCUAAUACCUUGGCAAAUCCC